AUUGAACGCUGGCGGCACGCCUAACACAUGCAAGUCGAGCGGCAGCGAGAUUAGUAGCAAUACUAAUUGUCGGCGAGCGGCGGACGGGUGAGUAAUACGUAAGAAUCUGCCCUCAAGCGGGGGAUAACUAAUGGAAACGUUAGCUAAUACCGCAUAAUCUCGAGAGAGAAAAGGUGCCCGCAAGGGUGUCACUUGAGGAGGAGCUUGCGUCUGAUUAGCUAGUUGGUGGGGUAAGAGCCUACCAAGGCGAUGAUCAGUAACUGGUCUGAGAGGACGACCAGUCACACUGGGACUGAGACACGGCCCAGACUCCUACGGGAGGCAGCAGUGGGGAAUAUUGGACAAUGGGGGAAACCCUGAUCCAGCGAUGCCGCGUGAGUGAAGAAGGCCUUCGGGUCGUAAAGCUCUUUAGGUUGGGAAGAAGAAUGUAGGUUGAAUACACCUAUGUUUUGACGGUACCGACAGAAUAAGCACCGGCAAACUCUGUGCCAGCCGCCGCCGAAA
rnacentral:rRNA from 1 species